GGGACAUUACUGAGUUAUCAAAAACUCCAACCCUUUGUGAACCUACCUACGUUUCCUCCGGCGUACCGCCUCGGCCUACCCACAGGGCUCCCCCAAGGGGGGGGCUCUGCUGGGGAGGUGCCUGAGUGCUACCUAUCCUUCGGGGUACGGUUAGUGCAGUGAAGGUGCCGACCAAGGCCUCGGCGGCGCCGAGUAGGACCGCUCCAAACUUAAGCACUUAGUGCAUCCAACCCCGCGUUGAACAACUAUCGAAAAUUUGCUUUUGCUUUUGCUCUGUUGCAUUUUUUCUUUACGCUAAAACGUCUUUCCCGGUUGGAAUUAUUGCUCGAGAUGCCCUAAAAGACUGAUCGUAGGCACUUGUAGGAUGCGUGAAAUGUGUGAAAUGUCCCUCUCGUAGUGCCAUUCCACUUCGCUCAAACGUGUUUCCCGGUUGGAAUUUUUGCUCGAAAUAAUAAUUUCUUACCCUGUAGUCGUUUGUUUCAAGCUCCAAUAUCUGCUCGAAUAUCACUGCUUCAAUAUUGCUCGAAAUUGUUCAAAGCUCUAGGGGUCUGAAUGAUUCAUAAAUUGGCAAAAGCCACCUAUAAACUACGGUUUUAGGGGGUGAUCAAACCAAGGUUUUAAAAACCAAAUACGUUAAAACUUUCAACAACGGGAUCUCUUGGUUCUGGCAUCGAUGAAGAACGCAAGCGAAAUGCGAUAAGUAAUGUGAAUUGCAGAAUUCAAGUGAAUCAUCGAAUCUUUGAACGCACAUUGCGCCCAUUAGUAUUCUAAGUGGGCAUGCCUAUUCGAGCGUCAUUACAACCCUUAAGCCUUGUAGCUUAGCGUUGGGAAUCUACCCCUCACUGAGGGGUAGUUCCUUAAAUUCAGUGGCGGAGUUAUUAGCACACUCUAAGCGUAGUAGUUUAACUCGCUUUCAGGGAGGCUGUAGCUGCUUGCCGUAAAAACCCCCUAUAACUUAUAGUGGUUGACCUCGGAUUAGGUAGGAAUACCCGC
rnacentral:rRNA from 1 species